rnacentral:rRNA from 1 species
UGGGGAAUAUUGGACAAUGGGCGCAAGCCUGAUCCAGCCAUGCCGCGUGAGUGAUGAAGGUCUUAGGAUUGUAAAGCUCUUUCACCGGAGAAGAUAAUGACGGUAUCCGGAGAAGAAGCCCCGGCUAACUUCGUGCCAGCAGCCGCGGUAAUACGAAGGGGGCUAGCGUUGUUCGGAAUUACUGGGCGUAAAGCGCACGUAGGCGGAUAUUUAAGUCAGGGGUGAAAUCCCAGAGCUCAACUCUGGAACUGCCUUUGAUACUGGGUAUCUUGAGUAUGGAAGAGGUAAGUGGAAUUGCGAGUGUAGAGGUGAAAUUCGUAGAUAUUCGCAGGAACACCAGUGGCGAAGGCGGCUUACUGGUCCAUUACUGACGCUGAGGUGCGAAAGCGUGGGGAGCAAACA